CCUACGGGAGGCAGCAGUGAGGAAUAUUGGACAAUGGAGGCAACUCUGAUCCAGCCAUGCCGCGUGCAGGAAGACUGCCCUAUGGGUUGUAAACUGCUUUUAUAUAGGAAGAAACCUUGGUACGUGUACCAAGCUGACGGUACUAUA
rnacentral:rRNA from 1 species